UACGUAGGUGGCAAGCGUUAUCCGGAAUUAUUGGGCGUAAAGAGCGCGCAGGUGGUUGAUUAAGUCUGAUGUGAAAGCCCACGGCUUAACCGUGGAGGGUCAUUGGAAACUGGUCGACUUGAGUGCAGAAGAGGGAAGUGGAAUUCCAUGUGUAGCGGUGAAAUGCGUAGAGAUAUGGAGGAACACCAGUGGCAAAGGCGGCUUCCUGGUCUGUAACUGACACUGAGGCGCGAAAGCGUGGGGAGCAAACAGGAUUAGAUA
rnacentral:rRNA from 1 species